rnacentral:rRNA from 1 species
GACGUAGGGCGCGAGCGUUGUCCGGAUUUACUGGGCGUAAAGGGCGCGUAGGCGGCCAGCACAAGUCAGUUGUGAAAUCUCCGGGCUUAACUCGGAAAGGUCAACUGAUACUGUGCGGCUAGAGUGCAGAAGGGGCAACUGGAAUUCUCGGUGUAGCGGUGAAAUGCGUAGAUAUCGAGAGGAACACCUGCGGCGAAGGCGGGUUGCUGGGCUGACACUGACGCUGAUGCGCGAAAGCCAGGGGAGCGAACGGG